rnacentral:sRNA from 1 species
UGGCUUUUGUUACUGUACAGAUUAUCUUUAAUUCUGUUCAGACAAUACUUGUCAAAGACCCAGAUGAAAUAAGGAGUUUGUAUAGUUUUCUCUCACAUAUCAGAGGGGAAAAAGAAGAGCCCAGUUUCUGUGUCCACUAUGUGUGGCCUAGUUGUAAACAGCUGGAAGAAUACAAAGAAUGUUGUACUGAAAAUGUCAAAAGUAUUACAAACAUUAAUGGUUAUAAACAAGUAACUAGAGAAGAUCAAGGGGAUAUCAUUGUAUCUCGGGAUUCCCAUAGAGGGCCUGUGCAUGUUCCUGGAGACAAAGUUGAAUUUGAGCAACCAUAUGAACUUGAGAAUGAAAAUGUAAAUUUCAAACACCCUAGACUAGUUGCUCAAAAUGAAUUAGUGCACCAAAACAGUCAUCCUCUAACCUGUCAGGAACCUCUCCCAAGUGCACAAUAUGAGGAUUUGUCAUUUGUCUGUCCAGAUCCUAA